rnacentral:rRNA from 1 species
CCCUUAGAUGUCCUGGGCCGCACGCGCGCUACACUGAACGGAUCAGCGCGUUUUCCCUUCCCGAGAGGGACGGGUAACCUGCUGAACCCCGUUCGUGGUAGGGAUCGGGGCUUGCAAUUAUUCCCCGUGAACCAGGAAUGCCCAGUAAGUGCAAGUCAUAAGCUUGCGUUGAUUACGUCCCUGCCCUUUGUACACACCGCCCGUCGCACCUACCGAUUGAAUGGUCCGGUGAAAUCUCGGGACGGCGGCUCGGGCGCUUGCGUCCGACUGCUGAAACUUGAUUAAACCAUAUCAUUUAGAGGAAGGUGAAGUCGUAACA